CACUGGUUUGCCUGUUAACCGUAGGUGUCACGUUUGAAGGGACGAAACGGAACGUCAUCGCUCGAACGGCCAAUCAUAUCGCGCAUUGAGGAACCCAAAGCCUCCUAACAGAGAUGCCUCGAUCCUUUCGAAAAUUCGCACGGAGGCAACAGUCAAGGUGAACAUCUGUGAGUUUCUCCAAAGCGGUUACCAUCGGUAAACAGCAAGCCUACUGAUUGCCUGCCUGGUGUUGACCGACGCGACGAGGUGUAUUGCCUAAAUCCAAUCCACGGAUUGCUUCCUAGUUGGAGAUUUGACAUCCUCGUGAUCCUGGUGUGCGUGCGCCAUCCUCGAGGAAAUUGCUAGUGACUGUUCGAGUGUUGUUGCAGCUAAGGUCAUCAGAGAGGACAGACCAUCCUGCAUUUCUGUCAGAAACUGGACAACCCGAAGAUCAGGGAAUUUCUGGCCUGCUAUG